UUGCCAUCCAGUGGCCACAGCCUUUUUUCUUCCUGGUCACUGCUCUCCUGCCCCCUCUGCCAAUCACAAGCCUUUCUGGAGACCCCACAAAAAGCAGGACAUUUUGUAAGGCUCUUGCAGGUUUAUAAUCAAGAUUCGGGGAGACCCACCCUCAAGGAACUUGCAAAGCAAGGAAGAUAAACACAAAACAAGCCCUUGAUCAGAGUUCAACUCCUACUGUGUACCUGCACGGCACCUGGCCCUGAGUCAGCCUCACAGCAGAACGAACAGGGCCCAUGACAAAAAGACGACAAGGGGUCCUUUGACCAACAAUGACUAGGAUUUGCAAGACGGCAACAAAGAGCAGAGCAUUAGACCAGCGUGGGGGGCCUCUGAGGACAGGGCCAAGCGACGGCUCAGGCCUUACACCCAGGAAGCUGGCACUGCUGAGAGAGAGCUGUUGAAUGUGUUGGAGAAAGAGGCUAUGAUGUAACAAGGAGAGGGGGUGGAACCCACCUAGGGGAGGUGAAGUGGCCCGGGGAGGGAAACGCAGGAACCUCGGCUGCCCUCCAUGUGCAGCUCCCACUUGAGAUGGGCAUGUCACCAUCACUCCUGCGUGAGCUUCAGAGAGCCAGGUCACCUCUACUCAGUUCUAACAUCUGCUCCAGGGUUUCAAUUCCAUCCUGUUGCUCUUCUUGCCCAGGGCCAGAGGCCAAGAUGGAUUCCUGACUAGCUGACAGCUGUGCCUACCCCAUAGGGCUCUCGGAGCUAAUCCUACAAAGUGCUUGCACUGGAUAAAGUUGGUUGAGUCACACCUUGCCCUCUCCACAUGGAGCCUAGGUGAGUGCCUUUGAAGGUGAUGAAGUCAGGUCACAUCUGUGUUCACUGAAAUCCCAGAAUGGGGAGUGAAGAGGAAGAGAGAGAGCAGCAGCCUCCCCAGCACAGCAGAUUCUUAGCACACAGUCAUUGCCUUUCUCCCUAACCCUCCCUGCACCUGUCGGCCAGGUAGGUCCCAUCUCCCUGCUUUCAUCAGCAGGAUGUGCAAAGAGAGCUUCCCAGGCCGCACUAUUUGGGGAAAAAGCUGAUGGUGGCAGCAGCAGCUGUCCUCCUUUUCAUUUCUGGGAACCUGCAAGGGCAUUUCAAAGUGGAAAGAAACCUCAGCCUCCAGCAGGUGCUCAGGUUCCGCCACAAGGCUGGAGGAGUGCUUACCCCAGGGCACGGUGGGCUGGGCCAGAGGCCCUGCGUGGGGCCUAACUUCAUUUAUUUAAAAGAGGGAGAAAAUAAAAGGUAUGGCUUGAGCCUUCUUUUCUAGGCAGAGGCAGCUGAAAGAAGAGGGCAAAGGAAGAACCAGGGACAGAACUCCCAGGCCCUGGGGAAACUAGAGUGAAACUAGAAGAGAAAUUGGCAAGAGUCCAGGCAAGAGCCACGCUACUCUGGGCUUGGUCUCUGCAGCUGCAUACGGGCGCAGACUGUUCAUGCCCUGCCUUCUGCGCGGGGAAGAGGCAGAAGAGAAGGGGGGGCAGCCCCUCCUAGUGGUCUCCAUGCUCCCCUCUCAUGACCCUGCGCCCUGGGGGUGGAGUACGGGGACGCUGGUGGCAGCACGUUCAGAAAAGCCCAGAGGCACUGGGUGCUGAGAUACUGAGGAGACAGACCACUGCCCUCCCUGGCCCUGCCUACACUGACAUCGCCAGAGGACAGAUGAAGGGCAAGCGAACCACUCAGGCAACUGGGAGGCCACUCCCUGCAGGCCAAAUUACUUCUGCCUAAAGAGCAACAAACAUUUACCACCGAACCACCCGGCCUCCCCCAACACACUAAUCACUCUGCUCUCAUUAACACAGCCUGUACACAAACAGCAUGUGCACGCGCUUGCGUGUGUGAUGCGUGGGGGGCAGGAUCUCUC
rnacentral:lncRNA from 10 species